UUUCAAUACGGCAGCACAUACACUAAAAUUUCAAUGAUACAGAGAAGAUUAGCAUGGCCCCUGAGUAAGGAUGACAUGCAAAUUUAUGAAGCAUUCCAUAGGACC